rnacentral:rRNA from 1 species
CAGUCGCCGCGGGAACACGAAGGGUGCAAGCGUUAAUCGGAAUUACUGGGCGUAAAGCGUGCGUAGGCGGUGAGUUAAGUCUGCUGUGAAAUCCCCGGGCUCAACCUGGGAAUGGCAGUGGAUACUGGCUCGCUAGAGUGUGGUAGAGGAUAGUGGAAUUUCCGGUGUAGCAGUGAAAUGCGUAGAGAUCGGAAGGAACAUCUGUGGCGAAGGCGACUAUCUGGGCCAACACUGACACUGAGGCACGAAAGCGUGGGGAGCAAACAGAAUUAGAUACCCCUGUAGUCCCUGUCUCUUAUAC